rnacentral:tRNA from 1 species
CACUCUGUAGUUUAAAAAAAAUAGUAAAUUGCAAAUUUGAUGAUAGGUUUAUCCUCGGAGUGU